AAGUCGUAACAAGGUUUCCGUAGGUGAACCUGCGGAAGGAUCAUUAACAAAUCUGGGCGGGUCUCUUUCGGGAGACUUUGCCACAUUGACUCGGGCGCCUCCCCCAUCUCUGGUGGGAAGAGGGGCCCUGAGACAUUCACGCUUGUUUUGUUUGACCGAGUCAUGGUGAAUAUGAAAAAGACAACUUUUAACAAUGGAUCUCUUGGCUCUU
rnacentral:misc_RNA from 1 species